AAUUUUCUAAUAUAAUUAGUAUACUUGGCUUCCAACCAAGAAGUCUAGAAUUUUCUAGGAAAAUUA
rnacentral:tRNA from 1 species